AGCAGUAUUGACUGUGUUGUCUUCUGAAUUUGAGUCUUUCCUACCCUCAAAAUAGCAUUUUUUGCUGAGCUCCUUUUUUGUUGUUAUUUGCUCAUUUUUCUUACUUUUCUUUUAGUUAAAAAAUUGUCAAAACUGGACUUCAAUAACUGAAGUGAAGCAGUACUUCAAAGCUUCAGGUUCUUUGUGCCUUCAGUACUGGCUCUGGAGAUCUAUCUGAGUUUAAUUCUUCCAAGGUGGCAUGAUGUAAGGAGAGAAGCUGAAAUUCAAACUGAAAAUUCGAAGAAAGCUCAAGAAGCCAGAAGGUAAUGCAUUUCAGGGAUGGAAAGAAGCCAGUGAACGUUCACAGAAUCUGGAGCUCCUCUUCCAUCCAUUGAAAAGGCAAGAAAUAAA
rnacentral:lncRNA from 1 species